rnacentral:rRNA from 1 species
UGGGGAAUAUUGCACAAUGGGGGAAACCCUGAUGCAGCAACGCCGCGUGAGCGAUGAAGGCCUUCGGGUUGUAAAGCUCUGUCUUCAGGGACGAUAAUGACGGUACCUGAGGAGGAAGCCACGGCUAACUACGUGCCAGCAGCCGCGGUAAUACGUAGGUGGCAAGCGUUGUCCGGAAUUAUUGGGCGUAAAGGAUGCGUAGGUGGUCCUUUAAGUGGGAUGUGAAAUACCCUGGGCUUAACCCAGGAAUUGCAUUCCAAACUGGAGGACUAGAGUGCAGGAGAGGAAAGUGGAAUUCCCAGUGUAGCAGUGAAAUGCGUAGAGAUUGGGAGGAACACCAGUGGCGAAGGCGGCUUUCUGGACUGUAACUGACACUGAGGCAUGAAAGCGUGGGGAGCAAACAGGAUUAGAUACCCUGGUAGUCCACGCCGUAAACGAUGGGUACUAGGU